UCCCGCUUGGAACAGGGAUUUGUUGCUUGCCACCAAGACAGGCGCCUGCUCCUUCGAUCUGUUGACCCUCACGUUGGGUCUGUGUACCUCUGUUAUUGAUAGGAUUGACACAUGUCUGAUAUUCGCACCGGCCAGGUUAAAUGGUUCAACGAAACCAAGGGCUUCGGCUUUAUCGAGCAGGCUCAGGGCCCGGACGUUUUCGUUCACUUCUCCUCCAUCCAGUCCGACGGUUUCAAGACCCUGGCUGAAGGUCAGAAGGUCCAGUUCACCGUGACCCAGGGCAAGAAGGGCCCCCAGGCCGAGAACGUCAAACUCGUCUGAGUGAGCCGGUGAAACGAAGAGAGGAGCCAUGGCUCCUCUUUUUUA
rnacentral:sRNA from 1 species